ACCGUUUGUGUAAGAAGUCAAGAAGUACUUAAAAAAAGCUACGAUUACUAGCUUUUGUCUCGCAGCUUCUACUUAUUGCCCAAACACUUUUAUCACUUAUAAGUCUUAACUUGCUUCUAACUUUUACUUCACUUUUUUACUUUAAGCCAACUUCUAAAUUAAGUUAGAAACACUUAUUUGUACCGUUUGUGUAAGAAGUCAAGAAGUACUUAAAAAAAGCUACGAUUACUAGCUUUUGUCUCGCAGCUUCUACUUAUUGCCCAAACACUUUUAUCACUUAUAAGUCUUAACUUGCUUCUAACUUUUACUUCACUUUUUUACUUUAAGCAAUAAGCACUUAUUUU
rnacentral:lncRNA from 1 species